rnacentral:rRNA from 1 species
CCUGGUUGAUCCUGCCAGUAGUCAUAUGCUUGUCUCAAAGAUUAAGCCAUGCAUGUGUAAGUAUGAACUAAUUCAGACAGUGAAACUGCGAAUGGCUCAUUAAAUCAGUUAUAGUUUGUUUGAUGGUAUCUACUACUCGGAUAACCGUAGUAAUUCUAGAGCUAAUACGUGCAACAAACCCCGACUUCUGGAAGGGACGCAUUUAUUAGAUAAAAGGUCAACGCAGGCUUUGCCUGUUGCUUUGAUGAUUCAUGAUAACUCGUCGGAUCGCACGACCCUUGUGCCGGCGACGCAUCAUUCAAAUUUCUGCCCUAUCAACUUUCGAUGGUAGGAUAGUGGCCUACCAUGGUGGUGACGGGUGACGGAGAAUUAGGGUUCAAUUCCGGAGAGGGAGCCUGAGAAACGGCUACCACAUCCAAGGAAGGCAGCAGACGUGCAAAUUACCCAAUCCUGACACGGGGAGGUAGUGACCAUAAAUAACAAUAUCGGGCUCAUUGAGUCCGGUAAUUGGAAUGAGUACAAUCUAAAUCCCUUAAUGACGAUCCAUUAGAGGGCAAGUCUGGUGCCAGCAGCCGCGGUAAUUCCAGCUCCAAUAGCGUAUAUUUAAGUUGUUGCCGUUAAAAAGCUCGUAGUUGGACCUUGGGUCGGGUCGAUCGGUUCGCCUCUGGUGUGCACCGGUCUGGUCGUCCCUUCUGCCGGCAAUGUGCUCCUGGCCUUAACUGGCCGGGUCGUGCCUCCGGUGCCGUUACUUUGAAGUAAUUAGAGUGCCCAAAGCAAGCCUACGCUCUGCAUACAUUAGCAAGGGAUAACACCACAGGAUUCUGAUCCUAUUGUGUUGGCCUUCAGGAUCGGAGUAAUUAUUAACAGGGACAGUCAGGGGCAUUCGUAUUUCAUAGUCAGAGGUGAAGUUCUUGGAUUUAUGAAAAACGAACAACUGCGAAAACAUUUGCCAAGGAUGUUUUCAUUAAUCAAGAACGAAAGUUGGGGGCUCGAAGACGAUCAGAUACCGUCCUAGUCUCAACCAUAAACGAUGCCGACCAGGGAUCAACGGAUUUUUCUUUUAGGACUUCGUUGGCACCUUAUGAGAAAUCAAAGUCUUUGGGUUCCGGGGGGAGUAUGGUUGCAAGGCUGAAACUUAAAGGAAUUGACGGAAGGGCACCACCAGGAGUGGAGCCUGCGGCUUAAUUCAAAUUUCAUAGUCCUGUGAAGUGUUCGGAUUGCGGCGACAUGGGCGGUUCGCUGCCCGCGACGUGGUGAGAAGUCCAUUGAACCUUAUCAUUUAGAGGAAGGAGAAGUCGUCACAAAGUUUCCAUAGGUGAACCUGCGGAAGGAUCAUUCUCGAUGCCUCAAACAAUUCCACCCGUGAAUAUGUACCAAACACACAACAACGCGCAAGGCCAGCGGGGGCACGCAAGUGCUCCCACUACCAGGUGCGUUGUUGAGAGCGGGGGUUGGUGUCUUGAUGCCUUGUGCAUCCGGUCGCAAACCCGUGCCUCUCGACAAAAACUAACCCGGGCGUUUUACGCGCCAAGGAAAACGAAGUUGUUAGGUGAGGUAAAUGGGGGACGUGUCCUGCGGGCGCCUUCACGAUGACAUUUUAUGUAAAAUGACUCUCGGCAACGGAUAUCUCGACUCUUGCAUCGAUGAAGAACAUAGCGAAAUGCGAUACUUGGUGUGAGUUGCAGAAUCCUGUGAACCAUCAAGUCUUUGAACGCAAGUUGUGCCCAAAGCCAUUAGGGUGAGGGCACGCUUG